rnacentral:rRNA from 1 species
GUCCACGCUGUAAACGAUGAGUGCUAGGCGGUGGAGGAUUUUGACCCCUUCGCUGUCGAAGCUAACGCGUUAAGCACUCCGCCUGGGGAGUACGGUCGCAAGACUAAAACUCAAAGGAAUUGACGGGGGCCCCGCACAAGCGGUGGAGCAUGUGGUUUAAUUCGACGCAACGCGCAGAACCUUACCUGGGUUAAAUCCGCUGGAAUCUGGCCGAAAAGCUGGAGUGCCCUUCGGGGAAUCAGUGAGACGGUGCUGCAUGGCUGUCGU